rnacentral:rRNA from 1 species
AUUGAACGCUGGCGGCAGGCUUAACACAUGCAAGUCGAGCGGGGAAGGGUAGCUUGCUACCUAACCUAGCGGCGGACGGGUGAGUAAUGCUUAGGAAUCUGCCAUUUAGUGGGGGACAACAUUCCGAAAGGAAUGCUAAUACCGCAUACGUCCUACGGGAGAAAGCAGGGGAUCUUCGGACCUUGCGCUAAAUGAUGAGCCUAAGUCGGAUUAGCUAGUUGGUGGGGUAAAGGCCUACCAAGGCGACGAUCUGUAGCGGGUCUGAGAGGAUGAUCCGCCACACUGGGACUGAGACACUGCCCAGACUCCUACGGGAGGCAGCAGUGGGGAAUAUUGGACAAUGGGCGGAAGCCUGAUCCAGCCAUGCCGCGUGUGUGAAGAAGGCCUUUUGGUUGUAAAGCACUUUAAGCGAGGAGGAGGCUACUUAGAUUAAUACUCUAGGAUAGUGGACGUUACUCGCAGAAUAAGCACCGGCUAACUCUGUGCCAGCAGCCACAGUAAGAC